rnacentral:rRNA from 1 species
AACGAACGCUGGCGGCAGGCUUAACACAUGCAAGUCGAGCGCCCCGCAAGGGGAGCGGCAGACGGGUGAGUAACGCGUGGGAAUCUACCCAUCUCUACGGAAUAACGCAUGGAAACGUGUGCUAAUACCGUAUACGUCCUUCGGGAGAAAGAUCUAUCGGAGAUGGAUGAGUCCGCGUUGGAUUAGCUAGUUGGUGGGGUAAAGGCCUACCAAGGCGACGAUCCAUAGCUGGUUUGAGAGGAUGAUCAGCCACACUGGGACUGAGACACGGCCCAGACUCCUACGGGAGGCAGCAGUGGGGAAUAUUGGACAAUGGGCGCAAGCCUGAUCCAGCCAUGCCGCGUGAGUGAUGAAGGCCCUAGGGUUGUAAAGCUCUUUCACCGGUGAAGAUAAUGGCGGUAACCGGAGAAGAAGCCCCGGCUAACUUCGUGCCAGCCGCCGCCGUAAGAC